rnacentral:misc_RNA from 1 species
AAGUCGUAACAAGGUAACCGUAGGUGAACCUGCGGUUGGAUCAUUAACAAAUGAUUUGGUUUUUAACCAAAACACUGUGUGCAAUUAUAUCUGUCUCUGGUGGUUGAAUCUUUUCCUGCUUGCAGGGAAUCCCUUGAUCACCAAUCGAACAAACCUUUGUAUUUUUUUUUUCAAGUCUGAAUCAUUCACUUUUGUGCAAUGAAAAAACAACUUUUGACAACGGAUCUCUUGGCUCUC